rnacentral:lncRNA from 1 species
AAAUAGAUGGGGCAAGUGACCCUGGCGCCAUGGGUGGCGCGGGGCGCCAGCCCCUAAACUUCAGUGGAGAGUUUGGGGCGCUCUGGCAGGCGCGUCGCGCCAGGCCCCCAACCCAGAAAUUUCAGCAUGCUCAUUUUCUCGUUUUCUCACCUUAUUUCACCUAAAAUCGAAUGGUUUCUUCCCCAAAUCACUUAGAAACAUUAACACCCUCAAUAUACCAUAGAUUCAACUCAAAAACACAACCGGAAACAAGUCCCAAAUCAACAAGAAUCUCAACAUCACAAUCAACAACAAUACCAACAAUAAUUUCAACAACAACAACUAACAACUUCAACAAUUCCAACAACUUCAACAACAAAUCCAAUCCUUUCUCAAAUCAUAAAAAUGAACUUGGUGUGUGGGGGAAAGGAUCAACCCACACAAAGAACUCACAUACCUUAAUAGGGAUCACCCCCGAC